rnacentral:rRNA from 1 species
AAUGCCGCGUGAGUGAAGAAGGCCUUCGGGUUGUAAAGCUCUUUUGUCAGGGAAGAAACGGUGCGGGCUAAUAUCCUGCACUAAUGACGGUACCUGAAGAAUAAGCACCGGCUAACUACGUGCCAGCAGCCGCGGUAAUACGUAGGGUGCAAGCGUUAAUCGGAAUUACUGGGCGUAAAGCGUGCGCAGGCGGUUUUGUAAGUCUGAUGUGAAAUCCCCGGGCUCAACCUGGGAAUUGCAUUGGAGACUGCAAGGCUAGAAUCUGGCAGAGGGGGGUAGAAUUCCACGUGUAGCAGUGAAAUGCGUAGAGAUGUGGAGGAACACCGAUGGCGAAGGCAGCCCCCUGGGUCAAGAUUGACGCUCAUGCACGAAAGCGUGGGGAGCAAACAGGAUUAGAUACCCUGGUAGUCCACGCCCUAAACGAUGUCUACUAGUUGUCGGGUUUUAAUUAACUUGGUAACGCAGCUAACGCGUGAAGUAGACCGCCUGGGGAGUACGGUCGCAAGAUUAAAACUCAAAGGAAUUGACGGGGACCCGCACAAGCGGUGGAUGAUGUGGAU